rfam:Ictidomys tridecemlineatus contig043503, whole genome shotgun sequence.
GGGGUUGUGGCUCAGUGGUAGAGUGCUUGCCUAGCAUGUGUGAGGUACUGGGUUCAAUUCUCAGCACCA